GAGUUUGAUCUUGGCUCAGGAUGAACGCUGGCGGCGUGCCUAAUACAUGCAAGUCGAGCGAACGGACGAGAAGCUUGCUUCUCUGAUGUUAGCGGCGGACGGGUGAGUAACCACGUGGAUAACCUACCUAUAAGACUGGGAUAACUUCGGGAAACCGGAGCUAAUACCGGAUAAUAUUUUGAACCGCAUGGUUCAAAAGUGAAAGACGGUCUUGCUGUCACUUAUAGAUGGAUCCGCGCUGCAUUAGCUAGUUGGUAAGGUAACGGCUUACCAAGGCAACGAUGCAUAGCCGACCUGAGAGGGUGAUCGGCCACACUGGAACUGAGACACGGUCCAGACUCCUACGGGAGGCAGCAGUAGGGAAUCUUCCGCAAUGGGCGAAAGCCUGACGGAGCAACGCCGCGUGAGUGAUGAAGGUCUUCGGAUCGUAAAGCUCUGUUAUUAGGGAAGAACAUAUGUGUAAGUAACUGUGCACAUCUUGACGGUACCUAAUCAGAAAGCCACGGCUAACUACG
rnacentral:rRNA from 1 species